UAUUUCUCCUUUGGUUUCUUUCCAGUUUGGUGAAAUUGAUAUGGAGACUGCCUACAUUGAGAAAAGAAAGGAGAUAGCAAAGAUAAGAGACCAGACACCCCUCGCCCUGAGAGAGAAUGAUGGAGAAGGAUGUACCCAAUGACGUUCCUGUGCCCUCAACCCCAGAGGCUCUGAUGCAGUGGUGUGGCAGACAGGAGUGAGUGGACUUCAGCUGUUGUUAUUCAUGCGCCACUAUGGAAAAACAUGUCUUUGCCAUAUGCAGCUUGUCUUUGUGACUGUAUACAGCUUGAACGCGUGAGAAUUUUACUCAGGAUUCUCAAAGUCAACCCUGUUCAGUAUUCUCUGGAGAUCGUCUGCAGACUUUGAAAGGACAUUCCCACUGAAUCUCAGAAAAUGGAUUAGGAUACAUGGUCCUGAAGCUACUUAAGCAGGCUUCCAAUGCCUUGUAAGGAAGACAAACCAUACAACUAAACACAUACAAAAGACAGAUUGUUCCCGAAGAAAGAGCAAAAGAUUAUGAGUCUUCACUGAAGAGGGAACACCUUUGACCUGAGAAACCCAUGAGGCCUCAUGGGAAAGGCAACAACUUUCUCCUGUGUGACUCCAGGUGGGCAGUGGCUCCCCAAAGGCUCCAGCUUCUUUCUGGAAGCUUCUCCCACAGCCAUGACCACAGCUCCAGCUCUGCUCCUGAAAUUCCCACUAACCACAAUGUGCUUGCUCCACGGUGAGAACGGCGUCCCCGGUGCCUGAGUGCUGCAGGGUUGCUGUUGUUUCUCUUUCUAAGCACCACAGUAACUCUUCCUUCAUCCCCCAUCCCACUUCGAUGUGCUAUCCCUGUCCUGCCAUAAGCAAGCCGAGUGAAUCCAGAUCCCAUCCGGAAUACAUCCACAUAGGAUCAGUUCAAGACACAGGAGGCAUCCGAAGACCUGGAGAGUCAGAGGUGCCAGAGCUGAGUGAGAA